GUGUAUUCCAACUUCUUAGAAUAAAAUUUAUCUCAUAAUGUAUGCAGCAUCAAGUACCUUAAAAGUAAAGAAAGAUAAUAACUGUGAAGUUUAGCCAGGGAAGAUGUCCUUUUAUUCGGACUAUUCAGAUGAAUGUGAUAAUGCGUGGUUUCCCUGUAUUGGGUUUCUAUAUGGUUGCUUCUGAACUUUCCUGACAUUAAUUUUACCAUUUGUGUAUUGUUUAAAUGUUAUUGUGAAUUGGUUGGCUCUGGCUACAUUGAGUUUCUGGUAGCUCGGGGUUGUAAAUUUUCUUAAUCUUUGCUCCUUACCACAGAAAGAAGAAGGCUG
rnacentral:misc_RNA from 1 species